UUCAGUGGCCACUGACUUUGCCUGAUUAACCAUGCUGUUCAUUCUAUAAGCUCUUAUUGGAGGCCAACCAACAACUUGACUGAUUCAAAGUUGAAACCAAAAACAAUAAAAGAAAAAAUCAAUCCCAUGAAUUGAAGAAUGCAUAUUUAAAAUGUUAACUAUAAAACGAUAAAGGCUGCUUCACCAAAGAGAAUUAACCUAUAUCAAAAAGUUACCAAGUACUGGAAUAAGAACAAAAACUUUUCACACUGCAUUCAUAGCCAUGCCUGAAGGCCUUAGCUCAGCUGGUAUGGGGAUGAAAUGGAUUGGGUUACAUUUAAAUGUUACUCAUAAAGGGGAAGGGAGGGGAAGGGGGACAAUAACAAGGAUUAAUUGCAUGGCUCAACUUUGAAUUUCCUACAAAUAAUUGACACUAUUUAAUCAAACAAUCAUCUGCGUAGGGGAACAUUAAGUAUUUAUUAGUGUGGAAGACUAUAAUAGGACCUCAAGUUACAAAAUACCUACAGAGAAGAGAAGAAUGGUGUUUUCAUUUUUGAAAGUGAAAAGCAUUACUGCCUAACACAAAAAAGUCCAACAAGCAAUUAUUGAUGACCAGAAACUACAAGUUAUCAGGAACACCCCAGCAAAUAAGCUAGGUUCAAAUAAUGGUGCAUCACGUGCUGCGAGAGGAUGGUGAAUGGGGAAGGAAAAAAAACACACAGAAUAAAAUGACUAGACCACUCUCGUAAUGAGAUAGAAAAAGAUGCAAAAUGAACCAAAGUUCAAAACUUAGGAUUGGUCUAAACAAACGCUAAGGAACAUCAAAUUUCUCCAUAAUGUAGGAUUGUUUUUGUAUUUGUUUAUCAUGCCAACAUCAAUUACCAUCAGAAUACAGUAGAAAAUAUAUUCCGUUAAUUUCUCAUGCCAUGGUCCUAUAAAACCAUUUAUAUAAGCCAGUACACACAACACCGCUUCCAGAGCCAAACCUUGACAAUCAUAGGCAGAGGGAAGAAGGAACCCAGGGCUCCUGACACUGGAGUUUCUAAAUCUAGUUACAGUGCCAUAACCAGCACCCCUCCCUUCUGGUGACUGUAUGAAAUUGUAGCAGUUCCAUUCAUAGUUUUAAGCAAUUUAUUGAAUAAUCCUUUCCAAAUCUAGAGGUCAUACCUUUUCAGUUUAUUGAACUAAGGACCACAUUAGUAAUCAUUCCAAUUUAAGAUCUCAUAUUAGUCACUGGAACUAUUUUAACUUGUGAUAAAGCAUAUUCAAAUAGUAUUCAAAAUUUGUAAAGAACCUAGAACAUGGGCUUACGAUUCAAAUUCAUCAAUCCUUUUAACUUUGCAACCUUUGUUUCUAUAUUUUGCUUUUUAGCUGUAUUGCACAUUAUAUUAUUGCUUAAAUUUGCAUUUUCAUUUUUACAGUACUUAGCUUACAAGCCAAAAGAUUAUUACCACAAAAUACCAAUAGACUUAUUUAAAAUUAUAUAAAUUAAAGGCAAACACUCUUCAAAUUUUAAAGAUAAUUUAUAUUCUCCACAUUAACUUAAAUUCAUGAAUUGCAGAAUCAGUCAUUUCUUUGCAUUUGAGAAGGUCAGAUCCAAUCUAGAAAGAGUGGUGUAAGGAGCUAAGGAUUGCUUCUAAAAUAUAUAUCUCUUUUAACUCUGAAUUUAUAUCGACUGCAUAUGAUCCAAUAGUUCUUCGUCGCAUUUCAUAUGAAUUGAAAAAUGUCAAGUUCACAUUACAUAAAUUGAAGUAGUAAAGAAAAUAAGUAUCUUAUACCAAUUGAAGUAAAACGUGUUACUAAUUAAACCUUAAUUUUUCUUAAGUUAUUUCCAGGUUGGAUCAAUUAGUUGUAACCCAAAAUGGACUGAAUAGCAAACUUAUGAAAAAUCUAAAUGGAAACAAAACGAAAGCAUGAAGAGAAACAAAGCACACCUAUUGCCGAUAACACUACAUUCAUAUGAAUUUCAGCAACCCAGGCCCAGUGGACCAGGAUGCAGGCAUCAAGGGGGGUUUCGACAGAGAUCAUAGAUUUGAGCCAUCUUGUUGUCUUCACGUGCAAGAAAGGUGGGGUAAAAAAUUCAUCUAGCUAUUAAAAUGAUGGGACAGAUAUACGAGAGGCACGGCAGUAGGCCUAUCUAAAAGCAAAUAAGGAGCUUUCUCUGGUGGCUGAACACCCUUUGGAAACUUGUUUACUCUUAUUCAUUAACUGGUAUAGAAACAUUUUUUUUAUAGGGGAAUUGGGGAGUUGGACUCGAUCCUUGACACCUGCCGUGAUAUGCCUUUAGCACUGAACCAAGCCAGGCUGAACCUUUGGUUGAAGGUAAGAAAUUGGUCACAAAAUUCUACCAUUUUUAUUAUUUUUUGAGGAAAUUUAGAAAUUCAGGUGAUUGAUUAGAUCCAUUAAAUUCCAAAAUCAGAUAAUUAAGAACCUAAUUCCGUUUUGAUUCAUGCCAAAGAGGGUGAGUAAAAGUGAACAUAUAGCAAUGAUCUCAUUUAUUUAUGACCAUAAUAAUUAAGAUAAAACAUUGGAUCAAUAGAAGCUAACAUGGUGAAUAUAAAAUACCUCAAUUUUGAUUAAAAAAAGGGAAAGAAGUUCAAAAUAGAGAAUUGACGAUCAAACGAUUGAAUUUAUACCUGGAAGCACCAUUAGGGGCAGAGACAGAAUCAGCACUCCUCUUG
rnacentral:misc_RNA from 1 species